rnacentral:rRNA from 1 species
GAUUCUUUCACUGUUCUCCAAGCGUCUUAUCAAGAUCUGCGGGAGAAUGAGGGAGGAUCUGUUUUCUUUAGAGAUGUUGUUUCCCACAACCGGGAUCUCCUUGAGGCGGAAAGCUCCGCAAGGAGGUGCCUGGAAGUGGAACAGAGGAUCCAAUGGGAAGAAAUCCCCAAGAGCAAGGCAAGUCUCGAAAGAGCUGAGCACGAGCAUGCUCUCGACUUGUUUAAGUCGGAGGAUCUUAGAAGGGAAUUAGAAAAAAAGAGCGGGGUAGCUCAGUAA